UUAAAUUUUGAAGCUAUAAGGUCUAACAACCCUUCAGAAAAAGAAUCGACCGAAUCAGUUGAUUCCUAUCAAUUCACCAAAUUCACUAUCGAAUCGUAAUAUUAGGUCAUGAUUCAGGUACAUUUUCAAUUCAUCCCAUAGAUUUGAAUUGUUAGGAAGGGAAAUCAAAUUGAAUCGAGAAUCGUAUGAUUCUAACAACGGUGGCUGUAACCAACUAUCCCUGCCUGCCAGAUAGACACAUUCAAAUUUAUUCAGCACGAAGAAUGCAAGAAUUUCUCAACUUUCCUAUGGACAGAAGUAUCAAACCAUAUAAACUCAAGAAACCAUCA
rnacentral:misc_RNA from 1 species